UACGUAGGGUUCAAGCGUUGUCCGGAUUUAUUGGGCGUAAAGAGCUCGUAGGCGGUUCGGUAAGUCGGGUGUGAAAACUUUGGGCUCAACCCAAAGCGUGCACUCGAUACUGCCAUGACUAGAGUUCGGUAGGGGAGUGGGGAAUUCCUAGUGUAGCGGUGAAAUGCGCAGAUAUUAGGAGGAACACCGGUGGCGAAGGCGCCACUCUGGGCCGAAACUGACGCUGAGGAGCGAAAGCGUGGGUAGCAAACAGG
rnacentral:rRNA from 1 species